rnacentral:lncRNA from 1 species
UUUGGUAACCAAUUGGUGUGCUCUAACCUGGAAAAGACCUAUUUCUCCUACUCUUAGCAUUCCUUAGUUGCCUGGAGUUCUUUGUGGAAGGUAGCUUAUUUAGAAUGAAGAGUUCACUGGCUCCAGGUGGCCUUAAGGGUGGAUGCAAAAAUCACCUAGCAAAUGUGAUCAAAAUUUCUUUGCCUGCUCCAGGUGGCCUUAAGAUUAGGUGCAAAAUUACCCAGCAAAUGUGAUCAGAAUUUUUUGUUGCUCUUUACAUUAAGGUAGGUUUUGUUUGUUUGUUUUUACAUUUUUGCGCUGCUACUGUAUUAUAUUGAGAUUUUUUAGGAUAUAUUUAGUUUAUCUAGUUUUUCAAUUAUCAAUAAUUCUUUCAGAAUUAUUUUACAGUAAAAUAGUUUCGAGUUUUCUUUCAUAGGGUUGGAUAUUAUAACUCCACCCCAUAUAUCCCUUAAACCAUGAUAUCAUUUCAUUUUGAUAUACCAUGUCUUGUCUUAAACAUUUCCACAGAAGUUCUUAAUGAAAUGGAUUAAGAUCAAUAUCUUUUAUCUUGAAGUUUUCUUUAAACAAAUCUUUAGUCUGUUUUGUGACAAAUAUUUUUAUGAGAGGGAUGAAAAGAAAUUUAUUGUUUGAUGUGGAAGAAAAGACGUUUGAAGGCACUUUUCUUUUAGAAAGAGUUCCCCAUAGGAAAUGCUACAGACAUGUUCUAUUGAACCCCUAUGAGGGAAAACUAGGAGACACCAGAAUUCAUAACUAUGGCAGUUUAGACUAUCUCUCAAUAUACUGAAGCUUUUAAGCAGUGGAGUGGCUCAGCUUGCAGAGCAAACCUGUUUACAUGGGUGCAUCAGCCAAGGUGGGAAGCCCAACCAGUAGGAUUCUGAAAGGGAUAAUAGAUAGAAUGACUACUGUAGUGCCUUCAAAAUCAGAUGAUCUAUGAUUCUAUGAUGUCAUAAUAUAUAAGAAAUGCUUUGAGGAUUAUAACAUGCCUCAUAAAUCUAAGAAACUAUUAUUACCAUUCUUAAUGGUAGCUUUAUUUGAAGGAUCUGUGUAUAUUGGAAUAAUGCUUAUUAAAUCUUUCUGUGAAAUAUGGCUUUAGACCAUUGCUCCAACAAGUACAUUCACUCAUUCAUAACACAUCACUAAUUCUUCCAGUCACUUAUUUUAUCAAUCAUGUGAUGAUGGAUAGGUGUAUCUAUGCAAAAUAACGAUGAAAAUCUUUUCUGUUAGAAGGAAAGACAAAUAAAUAAAGCAGCUUUUUAAAAAGUAUGUGGUGUGUGUGUGUGUCCCUGUCUGUAUAUGCUUAGUUUCUGUGGGUACCCAUAUACAAUUGAAUACCUCCAUGUGGAGCCCAGAGGACAACUUUGAUUGCCAUCAUCAAGAAAUCCACAAACAGAUUUUGCUGUUUAAAAUCCUGGCUUAUAAUUUAGACUUGGGUAAAUACCAGCUACAGAGAGAGACAUAGUCAUCUCGACAUGCCUAGUUAUUCAUUUGGUCAUUUACACAACUGAAGUAAAAGUAAAAUCAGAGUAUCAAGUGGCAAUUAUAUAUAUGGAAGGAUUAAUAAUAUUCCCAAAAUAAUAGAACUAUAAGCACUUAUUGGAACACUUAAGCUGGAAGCACCUUACACUUCAUAAUACACACUUGUAGAUUAUUCAGUUACUUGUUCUACAGCUAUCCUCCCUCCAGUCUCAAGGAUUGGCGGUUUCAUUUCUCACACAUGUUAAGUGUGGGCAGCUGUAGGGGCUGUGACUCAGUUCUACAUGUCCUGUCAUUCUGGAACGUUGGCUACAGCAGAGCCCCAGUCAGAGACAUUUGGUUUACAUGGCAGAGGGAAUCAACAAGACAGCUGGUAGGGAUCUAGGAAAAUACAGAAAUGUAGCUGAUGCUCAGAUGUUGCUACUUUCACAUUCUGUGGGCCAAAACCCAUCCUAUGGCCAACUGCAGAGUCAAUGGUGCAGGAAGCAGCUCUUUAUAGGGGCUAUGAGCACAAAUCAUGACACACAGCAACAGAUUGUAGCCUUCUUUACUUUACCUGUCAGAAAGUGGGUGUUCUUUCUCUAAAUAAAGAACUACAGGUGGUCAGUGCCUGCUGAGAGAGG